AUUGAACGCUGGCGGCAUGCUUUACACAUGCAAGUCGAACGGUAACAGGCCGCAAGGUGCUGACGAGUGGCGAACGGGUGAGUAAUGCAUCGGAACGUGCCCAGUCGUGGGGGAUAACUACUCGAAAGAGUAGCUAAUACCGCAUACGAUCUAUGGAUGAACGCGGGGGACCGUAAGGCCUCGCGCGAUUGGAGCGGCCGAUGUCAGAUUAGGUAGUUGGUGGGGUAAAGGCUCACCAAGCCAACGAGCUGUAGCUGGUCUGAGAGGACGACCAGCCACACUGGGACUGAGACACGGCCCAGACUACUACGGGAGGCAGCAGUGGGGAAUUUUGGACAAUGGGCGCAAGCCUGAUCCAGCAAUGCCACGUGCAGGAAGAAGGCCUUCGGGUUGUAAACUGCUUUUGUACGGAACGAAACGGCUCCGGUUAAUACCCGGGGCUAAUGACGGUACCGGAAGAAUAAGCACCGGCUAACUACGUG
rnacentral:rRNA from 1 species